rnacentral:rRNA from 1 species
AUUGAACGCUGGCGGCAUGCUUUACACAUGCAAGUCGAACGGUAACAGGUUAAGCUGACGAGUGGCGAACGGGUGAGUAAUGCAUCGGAACGUGCCCGAUAGUGGGGGAUAACGCAGCGAAAGCUGCGCUAAUACCGCAUACGAUCUGAGGAUGAAAGCGGGGGACCGUAAGGCCUCGCGCGAUCGGAGCGGCCGAUGUCAGAUUAGGUAGUUGGUGGGGUAAAGGCCCACCAAGCCGACGAUCUGUAGCUGGUCUGAGAGGACGACCAGCCACACUGGGACUGAGACACGGCCCAGACUCCUACGGGAGGCAGCAGUGGGGAAUUUUGGACAAUGGGCGAAAGCCUGAUCCAGCAAUGCCGCGUGCAGGAAGAAGGCCUUCGGGUUGUAAACUGCUUUUGUACGGAGCGAAAAGGCCCUUUCUAAUACAAGGGGCUCAUGACGGUACCGUAAGAAUAAGCACCGGCUAACUACGUGCCAGCCGCCGCGGUAAUAC